rnacentral:rRNA from 1 species
UACGUAGGGUGCGAGCGUUAAUCGGAAUUACUGGGCGUAAAGCGUGCGUAGGCGGUAAGUUAAGUCUGAUGUGAAAGCCCCGGGCUCAACCUGGGAGGUGCGCUUGAUACUCGAGGGCUUGAGUGCGGGAGAGGAGAGUGGAAUUCCCAGUGUAGAGGUGAAAUUCGUAGAUAUUGGGAAGAACACCGGUGGCGAAGGCGGCUCUCUGGACCGUAACUGACGCUGAGGCGCGAAAGCGUGGGGAGCAAACAGG